ACCUAGCCCUGAUAGUAACGGUUACCCCGCAACAAGCGAGGAAAAGAGCCUUGGCGUGAGGAGUAUGAGUGGAUAGCAGGAAAUAGC
rnacentral:sRNA from 1 species